rnacentral:rRNA from 1 species
CAAUAGCGUAUAUUAAAGUUGUUGCAGUUAAAAAGCUCGUAGUUGGACCUUGGACCUGGACAGGCGGUCCGCCUCACGGCGUGUACUGUCUUGCUGGGUCUUUCCUCUUGGUGAUCUGUUGUUUCGGCAGCAGGGAACCAGGACUUUUACUUUGAAAAAAUUAGAGUGUUCAAAGCAGGCUCGACGCCGGAAUAUAUUAGCAUGGAAUAAUAAAAUAGGACGUGCGGUUCUAUUUUGUUGGUUUUGGAAUCGCCGUAAUGAUUAAUAGGGACAGUCGGGGGCAUUAGUACUCACAUGCUAGAGGUGAAGUUCUUGGAUUUUGUGAAGACUAACUUCUGCGAAAGCAUUUGCCAAGGAUGUUUUCAUUAA